AUUGAACGCUGGCGGCAGGCCUAACACAUGCAAGUCGAGCGGAGCGGCGGACGGGUGAGUAAUGCAUAGGAAUCUGCCUGGUAGUGGGGGAUAACGUCCGGAAACGGGCGCUAAUAACGCAUACUCUCGAAUGAGCCUAGGUCGGAUUAGCUAGUUGGUGGGGUAAAGGCCUACAAAGGCGACGUUCCGUAAAUGGUCUGAGAGGAUGAUCGGUCAAACUGAAACGUAGACACGGUCCAGACUCCUACGGGAGGCAGCCGUGGGGAAUAUUGGACAAUGGGCGAAAGCCUGAUCAAGCCAGGCCGCGUGUGUAAAGAAGGUCUUCGGAUUGUAAAGCACUUUAAGUUGGGAGGCGUUACCAACAGAAUAAACGCCGGCUAACUUCGGGCCAGCAGCCGCGGUAAUAC
rnacentral:rRNA from 1 species